rnacentral:rRNA from 1 species
GAUGAACGCUGGCGGCGUGCCUAAUACAUGCCAGUCGAGCGAACAGACGAGGAGCUUGCGCCUCUGACGUUAGCGGCGGACGGGUGAGUAACACGUGGAUAACCUACCUAUAAGACUGGGAUAACUUCGGGAAGCCGGAGCUAAUACCAGAUAAUAUAUUGAACCGCAGGGUUCAAUAGUGAAAGACGGCUUUGCCGUCACAUAUAGAUGGAUCCGCGUCGCAUUAGCUAGUUGGUAAGGGAACGGCCCACCAAGGCAACGAUGCGUAGCCGACCUGAGAGGCUGAUCACCCACACGGUAACUGAGACACGGUCCAGACUCCUACGGGAGGCACCAGAGGGGAAUCUUGGACGUGGGGCGCAAGCCUGAUCCAGCCAUACCGCUUGGGUGAAGAAGGCCUUCGGGUUGUAAAGCCCUUUUGUUGGGAAAGAAAAGCAGCAGGUUAAUACCCCGCUGUUCUGACGGUACCCAAAGAAUAAGCACCGGCUAACUUCGUG